AUAAAUACCAGACAUACUGAUCGCUAAUGGUUUACUGGCUACUACUGUUCCUCUCCUUCCCAUCCUAUGUCUUCCUGUUACUCCUCCUACCCCAGAGUGAGGAGCUGUACACUCUGAUGGUCUGAAGGACAAAGGGGUUUUUCAGUCUGUUGGUCCUGCACUGCCCAGUACUUAUUACAGAUGCUCUAGAAGCUUGGUUGAUUUCACUGAGACCUAGACCACCUUCUCUAUGAGGGAGAUAUAUUCUGUACAUGCAUUGAUUUUUAUGUGCAACUUUGUGGAGCGUGAGCAUCUUCCUGGUUUUAGUAUCUAUCUUAUUAAGCGCACCCUGUGGCCAGUCUACUUUGCCAUUUGUCUUGUAUGAGUUAUCAUGUGUUUGUUAAGAGUCCUCUUUUGACCAAAUCUCUGACCACAUUCCAAACAACCAAAGUGUUUUUGUCUUGUGUGAAUUAUCAUGUGUUUGUUCAGGUGGCUCUUUCGUCCAAAUCUUUUACCACAUUCAGAACAGCCAAAUGCUUUUUGUCCUGUAUGAAUUAUCAUGUGUUUAUUCAGGUUGCUCUUGUCUCCAAAUCUUUGGCCACACUCGGAACAGCCAAAUGGUUUUUGUCCUGUAUGAAUUAUCAUGUGUCUGUUCAGGUAGUUCUUUUGUCCAAAUCUUUGAUCACACU